rnacentral:rRNA from 1 species
UACAGAGGGUGCAAGCGUUAAUCGGAAUUACUGGGCGUAAAGCGUGCGUAGACGGUUACAUAAGUCGGGUGUGAAAGCCCCGGGCUCAACCUGGGAAUUGCAUUCGAGACUGCGUAGCUAGGGUGCGGAAGAGGGAAGCGGGAAUUUCCGGUGUAGCGGUGAAAUGCGUAGAUAUCGGAAGGAACACCAGUGGCGAAAGCGGCUCACUGGACCAUAACUGACGCUGAUGCACGAAAGCUAGGGGAGCAAACAGG